rnacentral:lncRNA from 1 species
CAUAUGGAGGCUCCCAGGCUAGGGGUCCAAUUGGAGUUACAGCUGCUGGCCUACGCCACAGCCACAGCAACAUGGGAUCUGAGCCACGUCUGUGACCUACACCACAGCUCACGGCAACACCAGAUCCUUAACCCACUGAGCGAGGCCAGGCAUUGGACCUGCAACCUCAUGGUUACUAGUUGGGAAUUAGCUUAUGAUCAUGGAGGCUGGCAGCCCGAAAUCUGCAAGGUGGGCCAGCAGGCUAGAUAGAGACCCAGAAGAGAGCUGGUGCUGCAGGGCAAGUCCACAGGCCUCUGCUGCACAAUUCCCUCUGACUCAGGGGAGGUCAGUCUUCCAGUCUAGCCAGGCCUUCAACUGAUUGAGUGAGGCCCACCCACAUGACGGAAGGCAAUCUACUUACUCGAAUACCAUGGAUGUAAAUAUCAACUUCAUCCAAUACACACCCUCACAGAAACAUUCAGAAUAAUGUCUGUGAACAGGCACCUGGGCACCAUGGUCCAUCCAAAUUGACACACAAAAUUGACCAUCACAUCCACUAAAGUUUUUGAGCAGGACUAUCAGCAAAACUGACUUUGGCAAGAUUCAGUUGGAAGGGAGUGGGGAGAAGUGGAGAAGGGGGCACUGGGAGACAGGAAUAUCAGCUGAAAGGCGAUUUCAAUAACCCAGGCCAGCCAUGAGGGCUUCCACCAAAGAAGAGGUGAUGGGGAAAUGAUUUAAUUAGCAUCUGCUAAAAGAAAGUAUGAAUGGAUUCUGUGACUUGACAAGACCACACACACACAAACACACACAGACACAGCUUUAUAGGAAGUUCGCAUUUCCUCCUGGGACUCCAACACAAUGCAGAGGAAAGGAAGUUUUGUAAAUAGCACACAGGGAUGGAAGUGAUGCAGCAGAGAGAUACAGGAUUUGCAUCAUUUGCACUUCCCUCCUUAGAGGAGCGCUGUGCCUGCUCUGUGGGUCACAUACGCCCAAUUCUCCCUCUUUCCAACCAAGAGCCUCUCUUAAAAGUAAGUAACCACAGCACAGACCUGGAAAAGUUGGUUAGCUGGCCCCCAACCUAUGCUUCCCUUCAUCCUCAGAAAGAACCCUGCAAGCUAAAAAACUUCAAGCCAUGGAGCACUCCCCAUGACCAUGUGACUAUGUCCUAGGCCUGAAACAGAAGCAGGGUAUUGUCUGGGACUUCUCAGUAGAUGCUUUAAAACAGGAAGGGCACAUGUCCCUUCCUCUUCCUCUCUUCCUCCCUCUAUCCUGAAAUACAGAUGUGAUGGCUGGAGCUCCUGGGGCUAUCUUGGACCAUGAGGUGACUUUGACGAUGGGACUCACAUACUAAGAUUAAGCAAUACGUAGGAUGCUGGAUCUCAGAUGAUCGUGGGCUCAUGGCAUCAACCUAGAUCGCCUAAUUCAGGUCUUCCUUUAGGUGAGAGAAGGCAUUCUUGUGUGUUUAGGCCACUGUUGUUCAGUCUUCUGCUACUUGCAGCCAAUGCAAUUCCUGGUUGAUACAAGCUAAAUCCAUUAUUUUGUACAUAAGGCAAUACAAAUUUCAGAAUUUUAGGCUGUAGAAGUUCAUCUGUAUAUCUUCAUAUGGCCUUGGGGUUAGUAUGGGGCCAGAGAGAAGAAGAAUCCAUAUAAAUUCAUACAGUGUCUUACAUCUCAUGACUUCCUUCCAACAACUGCCCUCAGAGAGGCCCACUACAGAGGCCUUCAGCCACCCUGGUUGGGUGCUCAGGGUCAGUGUGAAAACGUCUCCCAGUCAUCUCUGUCUAAAGAGAAACUUCACUCAGGUGGCUUAAGCCUAAGGUCAAGGAACUUAAAUUCAAAGAAUGAGAGAAACUCUUAGAAGAUACACCAUGAUUUUUAGAAAUAAAAAACGCCUGGCACCUUCUCUGCAGCACAGUGCUUUACCAAAAGGCCGGGGAACACGCUGGAGGCUGGUGCUGAAUUGAUGAGCACGUGAUAUUUUUUUUUGUUACUUCCACUUGAACCACUUCCUCAAAGUGAGGCUUCCUAAAACCAGCAGAUCACUGCCUUAAAUGAAGCAAAGAGGCACCCUUUGUCAUGAGAAUGCAAGCUCCCUUGGGCCUAGGGAAAUUCUAAAUGGAAAAAUGAAUAAACAAGGACAUGAAGAAAUGACCAAACGAACUACUAAAGGCACUCGAGGAUGGGGAAGAGGGGAAAGCUGGAAGGAGGCCAGCACUGGGGAAGUCAGAGGAAGAACAGCUGCGGAGCCCGCCUUCUGGAAGGUGAUUCAGAAGAUACUCAGUGGGUGUGGCCACCCAUGGAGCCCUUCAGAAAUCAUCGGUCAAGGAAGGGGGUCAGGAGGGGACAGAGAAGGUCUCAGAUUUGCCCACUUAUCUCUGACACCCCAUUUCCUCACAGAAGCGCCAGGCUGAGGACUAGGACAGCAGGGUGAGCGACCUGAGGGUGUUUUAGCAGCACUGAACCACCUCCUGCCCUGACCUGCACCUUCGCCACACCUGCCAGGCGGGGACCACACCCUCUCCACAGCUCCACACAUUGUGACUUCAGGAGCCCUGAGAAGGGGCGGCUGACUCCGAAACCACUUUCUCCAUCUGGCUGAUGACUCAAACCGCAAGUUCCCUCCUCGGCAGGGCUGCCAGAUUUAGCAAAUAAGAAAUACAAGACUCUCCGUUCCAUUUGAAGUUCAGGUAAACACAUCGUCUGUUUUAGUGAAGGGUACCCCAACUACUGUACGGGACAGAGCAACGCCAAAAAAACCCCGAAACGAUCUGAAGUUCAAAUGGAGCAGGGUGACAGGUGCCCAGUAUUCUGUCUGCUAACCCCACCUCUGGCUUGGACUCCACCAGGACCUUCCACUAGGCGGAAAUGAAAACUCAUCAACAGCGCUGACUCCUCAGCCCUUCCCUCUUGGUAUGACGCUGAUGGUUCCUCCACACACGUUCCAAGAAGCUCCUGCUGGCCUCAAGCUGGCAAUCAGCAUCCCACCAGGCCGGAAGCAGAAUGUCCUAAGCUAUGCGAGUAUUUUCCAAGCAGAACUCAAAUGUCCAAAGAUCGUAAAUCUCAAAGCCUUAUUAUUCACCCACUGCUCAGAAGGAACGAGCCUAUCAGAUUCUGAGGGGGAGGUUUUCCUAGAAGAGAAGGGGGGACAUAAAGUCACACUGGGAGGGGUGGGAGAGAGGAGAGGAAGGGAGGAAAGUGGGGUGGGGGUGGGGGACCCAGGCGAAGGAAGUUAGGUCAAAAUGCUCAAGAGAAUGUUCCCACUAGCUGGAGACCAAACCUUGUUGCCUGGCAACACGAAAGGCCUGUGUGGAAGAAACUUGUAGCAAAAACAUAUCCCACGCUCUGAUUUUCUGCAACUGAGAAACCAGUCCCCCUAGUGCUGCCUCCAUGGGAUGCCACUGGUUUACAAGGGGGAGAGAGAGGACGGGGUGAACCAUGUCCAUGCAGUGAUUAUAUUGAUUUUACUGGCGACUGAUGGAAGUGGGGAGGGAGGUGGGGAGGGAAGACAGAAAAGAAAAAGAGAAACAUCCCAGCAGCCUUGUGGUUUCAGAUUUGUGGAGCAAAACUCCACAUCCUGCUUCCCCUCCAACUGCCGUCCUGCGGUGACACACCACAUCUGUCCGCUUCAGGCAGCAUGUCACCCACCAAGAGGGACUUUAGGUAAGCAGCCAGGCCUCAGUGAAGGAAAAAGGAGAUGGUCCCUGACAAGUUUCCAACCAACCAGACGGGCUGGGGAGCAUCUCCAGCUUCAUGCUGCCCCGCUGAGACUCUGCUGGCCACCAGCCUCAUUCCUGGCUUCCUGCCACCUGCCAGGCAAGAAAGGGUCAAAUGCCAGUGGACCUC